UGGUUUUUACGUGGUUAUUAGGCAGUUUCUAAUAUUUUCCAGGUGGUUGCUAACUGGUUGCUAUGGUAUCCGGGGUGGUUGCUAAGGUGUUGCUAGGUGGUUGCUAAGGUGUUGCUAUGGUGUCUUGGGUGGUUGCUAAGGUGUUGCUAGGUGGUUGCUAAGGUGUUGCUAUGGUAUCCGGGGUGGUUGCUAAGGUGUUGCUAGGUGGUUGCAAGGUGGUUGCUAAGGUGUUGCUAGGCAGUUGCUAAGGUGUUGCUAUGGUGUCUUGGGUGGUUGCUAAGGUGUUGCUAGGUGGUUGCUAAGAUGUUGCUAUGGUAUCUGGGGUGGUUGCUAAGGUGUUGCUAGGUGGUUGCUAAGAUGUUGCUAUGGUAUCUGGGGUGGUUGCUAAGGUGUUGCUAGGUGGUUGCUAAGAUGUUGCUAUGGUAUCUGGGGUGGUUGCUAAGGUGUUGCUAGGUGUAUCUAACUGGUCGCUAGGCAGUUGCUACCAUUUCUAAAGUGGUUGCUAAGCAGUUGCUAGGCAGUUGCUAACGUUUUCCAGGUGGUUGCUAAGGUGUUGCUAUCUGGUUGCUAGGCAGUUGCUAACGUAUUACACAUGGUUGCUAAGUGGUUGCUAGGCAGUUGCUAAUGUUUUCCAGGUGGUUGCUAAGGUGUAUCUAACUGGUUCCUAGGCAGUAGUAGAUAAAAAGAAAGAGUGUUAAAUGUAGAAGUACAGAAAAAGGGAGAGCCUGAAAUAGAGAAGUAGAGAGAAAAUCAGCGUGAGAAGUAGAGAAAGAACACCCGAGAAUGUGAGAAAAAGAGUGACAAGUAGGGAGAAAUAUUGAGCGAGAGAAAGAGAAUUAGGGAAAAAGAGAGAUCGAGAAAUAAAGAAGUAGAGAAAGAAAAAGGAUGUAGUAGAGAGAUAGAUAGAAAGAGAAAGCAAGACAGAAAAGUAGAGUGAAAGAGAAGUAGAGAGAAGAGCGAGAAAUAAAGAGAGAGUAAGAGAGAAAUAGAGAAAUAGAAAAGUAGAAAGAAAGAGACAGAAAAGUAGAGAGAGUGAGAAAGAGAGAGUGAGAAAUAGAAAAGUAGAGAGAGAGUGAGAAAGAGAGAGUGAGAAAUAGAGAAGUAGAGAGAGUGAGAAAUAGAGACGUAGAGAGAGAGUGAGAAAGAGAGUGAGAAAUAGAGAAGUAGAGAGAGAGUGAGAAAUAGAGACGUAGAGAGAGAGUGAAAAAGAGAGUGAGAAAUAUAGAAGUAGAGAGAGUGAGAAAUAUAGAAGUAGAGAGAGAGAGUGAGAAAUAGAGACGUAGAGAGAGAGUGAGAAAUAGAGACGUAGAGAGAGAGUGAGAAAGAGUGAGAAAUAGAGAAGUAGAGAGAGUGAGAAAUAGAGACGUAGAGAGAGAGUGAGAAAUAGAGAAGUAGAGAGCAAAAGAGAGAGUGAGAAGUAGAGAGCAAACGAGAGAGUGAGAAGUAGAGAAGUAGAGAGCAAAAGAAAGAGUGAGAAGUAGAGAAGUAGAGAGCAAAAGAAAGAGUGAGAAAUAUAGAAAUAGAGAGAGAGUGGGAAAGAUAGAGUGAGAAUUAGAGAAGUAGAGAGAGAGUGAGAAAGAGAGAGUGAGAUAGAGAAGUAGAGAGAGAGUGAGAAAUAGAGUGAGAAAUAGAGACGUAGAGAGAGAGUGAGAAAUAGAGUGAGAAAUAGAGACGUAGAGAGAGAGUGAGAAAGAGAGUGAGAAAUAGAGGAGUAGAGAGCAAAAGAGAGUGAGAAAUAGAGAAGUAGAGAGCAAAAGAGAGAGUGAGAAGUAGAGAAGUAGAGAGCAAAAGAAAGAGUGAGAAAUAUAGAAAUAGAGAGAGAGUGGGAAAGAGAGUGAGAAUUAGAGAAGUAGAGAGCGAAAGAGAGAGUGAGAAAGAGAGAGUGGUUGCUAAGCAGUUAAUAGGUGGUUGCUAAACCCUGGCUGGGGUGCCGGGGUGUCCAAACUUUUGACUGAUAGCUGCUCCAUACAGCAGCUCCUCCAUACACUCACAGUACUGGAGGAGCAGGGGAGAGAAGGGGUUCCGUGCGCAGAGCUGC